CGUAGGGUGCAAGCGUUGUCCGGAUUUAUUGGGCGUAAAGAGCUCGUAGGCGGUUUGUCGCGUCGGAUGUGAAAACCUAUGGCUUAACCAUGGGCCUGCAUUCGAUACGGGCAAACUAGAGUUCGGUAGGGGAGACUGGAACUCCUGGUGUAGCGGUGAAAUGCGCAGAUAUCAGGAAGAACACCGGUGGCGAAGGCGGGUCUCUGGGCCGAUACUGACGCUGAGGAGCGAAAGCGUGGGGAGCAAACAGGAUU
rnacentral:rRNA from 1 species